GUCGGCGUAGCUCAGUUGGUUAGAGCGGAGGACUCAUAAGCCUCAGGUCGCAGGUUCGAUCCCUGCCGCCGACACAA
rnacentral:tRNA from 1 species